UCUAUGGAUCCAUUUUGCUUCUUCCUGGAGAAGCUUCUGGUCCAGAUUGCCACUUCUUGGUCCCAAUUAGAUUUUUUAGCCAGUCCCCAAAAUUUUAGGACUUCUAGAUUUCCACUAUGAGUAUACGUGAUAUGUCUAUAAAGUGAAGUGUCCUUUUCCGUAUCGGUACCGUAUAGGUGCUAUGAUUGCAACCAUCAACAAAUAAUGACGAUUUUGAGAAAACAUUGGAAAAUACUCACCAGUGAUGGAGAACUGAAGAAGGUAUUAUCACCAUACCCCAGCGUCACAUAUAGAAGGGUCAGAACCUCAGGGAAAACGUUUUCUACCUACAAGAGAGACAAAAAGUGAAAAUUGGUUAAAAUCUAGUAUUGUGGGUUCCUUCCCAUGUGGCAAUUGCACAUUUUGUAAAUAUAUUCAGAGAAUAAAGAAAUGUAAGAACCCAGUUGAUGUACGUGAAUAUAUAAUUAGAGAUUUCUUCUUUAAUUGCCGCAGUAGUGGCAUUAUUUACGUGGCGUCGUGCACCUGCACAAAAUUAUAUGUGGGCAAAACAACACAGGAACUCAGACGGAGAAUAUCAGUGCCAUUAAUCCGGAAAAGGACACUUCACUUUAUAGACAUAUCACGUAUACUCAUAGUGGAAAUCUAGAAGUCCUAAAAUUUUGGGGACAUAGACAGGAUCCAUUGUGCGUCACAUUUUUCCUUCCUUCUGACAGAUCAGAAGAAGGGUCAAAUAAAUGAUGAUGCAACGCUGAACGCUGAAGCCAAAUCGUUUUUUCCGACCGAAAUACAUCACUAAAUGUUUUUCCACAUAUACCUGCAACAGUGAACGCUGAAUAUAUUUUGCUUUUGUACUGAAAUAAUAAUAACUGCAGAAGUUAAAUGCAUAUCUAUUUUUCGUUUUGGACUGAAAGAUGCCACUUAAACCCUUUCACCACAAAUAAAUGCAACAGUGAAGUGCGUACAUAUUUUUUUUCCUACUUCUAUUGUUAUACAGGGUAAUCUUAUCAUUCUAUGUCAUUGUGAAGGCCAAUGUCUACCAUUUCUGAGCACCAGGGUGACACAAGGUUGGGGUGGUGUGAAGAAUAAGUGGUAGAGGAUGAGUGGUUGGAAGAUUAUCGGCAAAUAAAGUGUUGACCAAGGAUAACCACAGAAGGAUAGGCUUCCUCGUAAUGUAGAUCUGCAGUGAUCAGUGGAUCAUGGAUCGGCCUCUAUAUAUCUGUCAUAUAAACUUGUCUUGUGCGUUGCAAAUGAUUAGGGUUAUUGUUCUCUACCGCCAUGAUCAGUUUCGCUUAUCACUAAUUGUGACAUUUUGCUUUUAUAAAUUUAUUAACACAUUUAUAGGUUGUGCAGGAAGAAAUUUCUGAUCAGAAAAUCUGUAGAAUUUUGAUUUAUUGUAAUGUGACUCUUUCCUUACAUCAGAUCUGGAGGUUCCAGAGUCAGUUUCUGUAAUCAGGCUUAGCUUCUCCGUCUUCUAUUAAUAAAUCGGUGAGAUGCAGGGAUGAGA